UACAGAGGUCCCAAGCGUUGUUCGGAUUCAUUGGGCGUAAAGGGUGCGUAGGCGGCGCGGUAAGUCUGAUGUGAAAUCUCCGAGCUUAACUCGGAAAUGGCAUUGGAUACUAUUCGGCUAGAGGGUUUGAGGGGGGACUGGAAUACUUGGUGUAGCAGUGAAAUGCGUAGAUAUCAAGUGGAACACCAGUGGCGAAGGCGAGUCCCUGGAAAACUCCUGACACUGAGGCACGAAAGCUAGGGGAGCAAACAGG
rnacentral:rRNA from 1 species